CAGAGACCUCAAGCGUUAUCCGGAAUCAUUGGGCGUAAAGCGUACCGAUAGGUGGUUAUGAAAGUCAGAGGUGAAAUUACUGAGCUCAACUCGGUAACUGUCCUUAGAAACUUCAUGACUAGAGGGGCAAAGAGGAAGCUGGAACAAACGGUGUAGUAGUGAAAUGCGUUGAUAUCGUUUGGAACACCAAUAGCGUAGGCAGGCUUCUGGGUGCCACCUGACACUGCUAGGACGAAAGCGUGGGGAGCGAAUGGGAUUAGAUACCCCAGUAGUCCACGCUGUAAACGAUGAUAAUUAGGCGCUAGAGAGUAUCGACCCUCAUUAGUGCCGUAGCUAACGCGUUAAAUUAUCCGCCUGGGGAGUACGGCCGCAAGGCUA
rnacentral:rRNA from 1 species